AAAUAUUUCAUGCCGAAUUCCUCAGUUUAUGGGGAAACGGGGGAACCACUCCGGGUGAAUUGAUCUUGCAAGACAGGGAUCAUAGGGAACCUUCAACCGAACCCUCCAGCUAACCUCGUAGGCACCGGAAGGAGACAAG
rfam:Paenibacillus pectinilyticus strain KCTC13222 scaffold12, whole genome shotgun sequence.